rnacentral:tRNA from 1 species
GGGGCUGUAGCUCAGUGGUGGAGUGCUUGCCUAGCAUGCAUGAGUGUUGGGUUUGAUCCUCAGCAUCACA